AGUGAACGCUGGCGGUAGGCCUAACACAUGCAAGUCGAACGGCAGCACAGCAAGAGCUUGCUCUUACGGGUGGCGAGUGGCGGACGGGUGAGGAAUACAUCGGAAUCUACUUUUUCGUGGGGGAUAACGUAGGGAAACUUACGCUAAUACCGCAUACGACCUACGGGUGAAAGCAGGGGAUCUUCGGACCUUGCGCGAUUGAAUGAGCCGAUGUCGGAUUAGCUAGUUGGCGGGGUAAAGGCCCACCAAGGCGACGAUCCGUAGCUGGUCUGAGAGGAUGAUCAGCCACACUGGAACUGAGACACGGUCCAGACUCCUACGGGAGGCAGCAGUGGGGAAUAUUGGACAAUGGGCGCAAGCCUGAUCCAGCCAUGCCGCGUGGGUGAAGAAGGCCUUCGGGUUGUAAAGCCCUUUUGUUGGGAAAGAAAAGCAGCAGGUUAAUACCCCGCUGUUCUGACGGUACCCAAAGAAUAAGCACCGGCUAACUUCGUG
rnacentral:rRNA from 1 species